AUUGAACGCUGGCGGCGUGCCUAAUACAUGCAAGUCGAACGCAGUGGGGACGGGUGAGUAACACGUGGGUAACCUCCCAUCAGAGGGGAUACCACUUGGAAACAGGUGCUAAACCGAUACUGAUGGAUGGACCCGCGGUGCAUUAGUUAGUUGGGGAGGUAACGGCUCACAAAGGCCACGAUACAUAGGUGGCCUGGAAGGAUGACCGGCCACACUGGAACUGCGACACGGCCCAGACUCCUACGGGAGGCAGCAGUAGGGAAUCUUCGGCAAUGGACGAAAGUCUGAUCGAGCAACGCCGCGUGAGUGAAGAAGGUUUUCGGAUCGUAAAGCUCUGUUGUUAGGGAAGCGGUAUCUAACCAAAAAGCCACGGCUAACUACGUGCCAGCAGCCGCGGUAAUUC
rnacentral:rRNA from 1 species